CACGUAGGGUGCGAGCGUUGUCCGGAAUUAUUGGGCGUAAAGAGCUCGUAGGCGGUGUGUCGCGUCGGCCGUGAAAACCUGCAGCUUAACUGUGGGCUUGCGGUCGAUACGGGCAUCACUGGAGUUCGGCAGGGGAGACUGGAAUUCCUGGUGUAGCGGUGAAAUGCGCAGAGUAUCAGGAGGAACACCGGUGGGCGAAGGCGGAUCUCUGGGCCAAUUACUGACGCUGGAGGAGCGAAAGCGUGGGGAGC
rnacentral:rRNA from 1 species